rnacentral:rRNA from 1 species
CAGUCGCCACGGUAAUACGAAGGGUGCAAGCGUUAGUCGGAAUUACUGGGCGUAAAGCGUGCGUAGGCGGUUUGUUAAGUCUGUUGUGAAAUCCCCGGGCUCAACCUGGGAAUGGCAAUGGAUACUGGCAAGCUAGAGUCUGGCAGAGGGGGGUGGAAUUCCGCGUGUAGCAGUGAAAUGCGUAGAUAUGCGGAGGAACACCGAUGGCGAAGGCAGCCCCCUGGGCCAACACUGACGCUCAUGCAUGAAAGCGUGGGGAGCAAACAGGAUUAGAUACCCCCGUAGUCCCUGUCUCUUAUAC